rnacentral:rRNA from 1 species
CCAAGGAGUUUAGGCGGUGUGGCCGAGUCAUUGAGUGUUAAACUCAAAGGCGAAAUGAAAGUGAAGGGAACUUUACGUUUCUGAGGGAAGAUGAGCUGGUUCCAACUCGGGCCGCUCCGCACUCCCGGGGCGUCUCUAUCUCAUUGCGAGAGGAGGCGCACCUAGAGCGUACACGCUGAUACCCGAAAGAUGGUGAACUAUGCCUGGCCAGGACGAAGCCAGGGGAAACCCUGGUGGAGGUCCGCAGCGAUUCUGACGUGCAAAUCGAUCGUCGGAGCUGGGUUUAGGGGCGAAAGACCAAUCGAACCAUCUAGUAGCUGGUUCCCUCUGAAGUUUCCCUCAGGAUAGCUUGCGCUCGGACGAGACGAGUCUCAUCCGGUAGAGCGAAUGAUUAGAGGCCUUGGGGUCGAAACGACCUCAACCUAUUCUCAAACUCCAAAUAGAUGAGAACCCUGGCUUUCUUAAACUAUGAAGCCAAGGGGUUUCGGAUCAGAGUGCCCAAGUGGGCCAAUUUU